rnacentral:rRNA from 1 species
CCCUUAGAUGUUCUGGGCCGCACGCGCGCUACACUGAUGCAUUCAACGAGUCUAAAACCUGCUCUGAUAGGGGUGGGUAAUCUUUUGAAUGUGCAUCGUGAUUGGGAUAGAUGAUUGCAAUUUUUCAUCUUCAACGGGGAAUGCCUAGUAAACGCAAGUCAUCAGCUUGCAUUGAUUACGUCCCUGCCCUUUGUACACACCGCCCGUCGCUCCUACCGAUUGAAUGAUCCGAUGAAUAUCAUGGAUUGAGGAUUAUAGCAGGUUCGCCUGUCUUGAUCUUCGAGAAGUGAAGUAAAUCUUAUCAUUUAGAGGAAGGAGAAGUCGUAACA